UACGUAGGGGGCAAGCGUUGUCCGGAUUUAUUGGGCGUAAAGCGCGUGUAGGCGGCCACGCAGGUCCGCUGUGAAAACUCGAGGCUCAACCUCGAGCUGUCGGUGGAAACCGCGUGGCUAGAGCCCGGAAGAGGGGACUGGAAUUCCCGGUGUAGCGGUGGAAUGCGCAGAUAUCGGGAGGAACACCGAUGGCGAAGGCAGCUCUCUGGGACGGUACUGACGCUGAGACGCGAAAGCGUGGGGAGCGAACAGG
rnacentral:rRNA from 1 species